GACGAGGGACCCUAGCGUUGUUCGGAAUCAUUGGGCGUAAAGCGGGUGUAGGCGACUAUUCAAGUCGAAUGUGAAAUCCUUGGGCUCAACCCAAGAAGUGCGUUCGAUACUGUUUAGUUUGAGUGUUGGAGAGGUUACCGGAAUUCAUGGUGUAGUGGUGAAAUACGUAGAUAUCAUGAGGAACAUCGGAGGCGAAGGCGGGUAACUGGCCAAACACUGACGCUGAGACCCGAAAGCGUGGGGAUCAAACAGG
rnacentral:rRNA from 1 species